GCCCGGGUAGCUCAGUCGGUAGAGCAGCUGUCUUGUAAACAGCAGGUCGCAGGUUCGAUCCCUGUCCCGGGCU
rnacentral:tRNA from 1 species